ACCAAUGGGACAGUAGACCCCUGGUCAAGUUAAAAGUGUCUGCAGGAAAAGAGUAGCAAAAUAAUAGUGUCUGUCCAAUGUAUCAUCUUCUCCCAGUGCUCAAAAGAUGUUUUUAAAUACCCUAACUCAACAGUAGUUUUGUGCUCUUUUACUGAUGGGAAUUUUCAAACCCCAAGUUAUUUCAUUAGGUAACACCGCCGGUGUUUAAAAUGUCAGAAUCAAACUCCAUUUCCUAGUGUGAACGCUGAAUACCAGUGCCUGAAGGAAAGUUUUAUAGCAUCGAUUAACUGCAACCAUUUGUAGGACUGACAAAGAGCUGCAUCAAAGUAUUAUUCUAACUUUUAGAUGUAUUGUGCAUCAUUUUUAUAACAUGCAAGCCAACAAUGAUGUACCUUGUUAUUGCAGGUCAGAACAACAUCACCCCAGCAGAUAAAUCACAGAGACUGUCAUUAGCAGUCCCAGAACUUGCAAGGCACAGGAUGAGAGAGGCCACAGAAGAGUAUGUCAUCCAAGGUCUAUCACAGUAGCAGCGAAAGAAUACAAUCCCAGAGUAUCAAUGUUUACCUUAAGCAUGAGCCUAUCCUGUCCGCUUCUUAACAUUUCCAGCUCCAUUUGCUACCCACCUCCCAGCCUUGACAACAAAUGGGGAAAUAUCAUGUGGAACCAAGAAACAGCCAUGAAAUUCAAACUGGCAUACGUAAAUAGAGUACAAGAAUUGGGUUUUAGCUGUAAUGAGCCCAGAGGGAUUACUUAUUAAAGUUACUAAAACCAGACUGCUUAACUGCUCAGUUAUUUAAAAUGCUAUCCAAUAGCUACAUUGCCAAAAGGGGCCAAAUAUCUACUUGGAUUGAUGUACAAUAUGCUUUGAAACAGAUGCAUUGGUUUAUGUUUCAUUUAGGUCUGUGCUGACAGUGAGACCCUGGCCCAGGAAUACUCGACUUCUGACUUCCAUCACGCCCUCUGAGGACUAAUAAAUGCACAGGAAGACAAUGGCUGGUAUUAAUGCUCUCUAUGGCUAACUGAAAAAGAGAGAUGGAGCAGGACUGCUCUGUUGCCAAGACAAUAGAAACCGUAAGUCAGUGAAAACUAGGAAAGAUCUAACUGAAAUAAACGAAAGUUGAACCUAAUUAAAGAAACAAGUAAACUAAUGUAAAGGUGGAGGGUCAGGGAUGCUCAUUUUCUUUUCUGUUUUCCCUAUGAAUUCGCCUACAAAGAACUGGUGAAGGAACUGUGGCAAAAGCAAUUGAGCAUAAAAAACCAUAGGGCUGUGUGUACUUCUCUGAUUUAUCAUGGCUUACAUGAAACCCAAUAUUGUUUAUACUCAAGUGAGAUGUGGCUUACUAUUUCAUGCAUUUAUGUAUGAUUGUGUUUCUAGUUACUGUUUAAUGAAACAUGGAUCUUGAGACCUUUGCAGUGCUCCUUCUUCUGAAGAAACACUGUGAAAUGAAAGAUGAAUAUGCUCAACCAUGUAAUGGAAUAAAUUAGUUUUGGUUUUAUUUUCUUCUGGUUGUUUUGGUUUUUUUUUUAUAGUUUUAAAAAAUGAGAAGUGUAUUACAUCCCAAACAAUACAUGAAAGACAACAUGUGGAGGUGCAAGUAGUCAUAAUAAAAAGUUUUAAGAUGAAAGUAAUAGAAAAAUAUUGAACAAUUAUGCAAAACAGUCAAGAUUUAUCUGAUUCAUUGCAUGGAGAUCAUACUUCUGGAACUCUGUGUGCUUUAUGAACAAAUUAUUACUCUGUAGAGCAGUUGUCAACAUUUAAGUAUCUUGGAUUUCUUUUAAGGGUUUUGCUAUGGCUGUUCCUUUUAAUAAGUCUGAUCUAAAGCCACUGAAACUAAAGAGGAAUUUUCCAGGUGACAGUGCUUUGCACCAGAAAAUCACUUGCCUCUUGCACCAAAAGCAUAUAGUACAUAGGAGUAAUUAAAUGGAUGUAAGUUCAUAAAAGCACCUGUGCAGAGAAGACACAUGCCCUGCUGUUUAUUCCUACCCUAUGAACUACAUAUAUAUGUAAUUUGUUGUAAAAUUGUAAUCAAUUCCUUUCUUUUUU